UACGGGGGGGGCGAGCGUUGUUCGGAAUCACUGGGCGUAAAGGGCGCGUAGGCGGCCCGCACAAGUCUGCGGUGAAAACCCCCGGCUUAACCGGGGGCCGGCCGUGGAAACUGUCGGGCUAGAGGCCGGGAGAGGGCAGCGGAAUUCCCGGUGUAGCGGUGAAAUGCGCAGAUAUCAGGAAGAACACCAAUGGCGAAAGCAGCUUUCUGGGACGGUACUGACGCUGAGACGCGAAAGCGUGGGGAGCAAACAGG
rnacentral:rRNA from 1 species